rnacentral:tRNA from 1 species
GGGGGAGUAGCUCAGCUGGUUAGAGCGCCGGCCUGUCACGCCGGAGGCCGCGGGUUCGAGCCCCGUCUCUCCCGCCA